UACGAAGGUCCCAAGCGUUAUCCGGAUUUAUUGGGUUUAAAGGGUGCGUAGGCGGCUUAUUAAGUCAGUGGUGAAAGCUCCAUGCUUAACAUGGAAAUUGCCAUUGAUACUGAUGAGCUUGAGUAUAUUUGAAGUGGGCGGAAUGUGUCGUGUAGCGGUGAAAUGCUUAGAUAUGACACAGAACACCGAUUGCGUAGGCAGCUCACUAAGCUAUAACUGACGCUGAGGCACGAAAGCAUGGGGAUCAAACAGG
rnacentral:rRNA from 1 species